rnacentral:rRNA from 1 species
GAACCUUACCAGGGCUUGACAUGUAUCUGCAAGCUGCCGAAAAGUAGUCGCCUUCGAGGGUGAUACACAGGUGGUGCAUGGCUGUCGUCAGCUCGUGUUGUGAAAUGUUGGGUUAAGUCCCGCAACGAGCGCAACCCUCAUGAUUUGUUGCCAGCGGUUAAAGCCGGGAACCCGAGUCAAACUGCCUCUGUAAGGAGGAGGAAGGUGGGGAUGACGUCAAGUCAUCAUGCCCCUUACGCCCUGGGCUGCACACAUGCUACAAUGGCCGGUACAAAGAGCUGCGACACCGCGAGGUGGAGCUAAUCUCAAAAAGCCGGUCUCAGUCCGGAUUGGAGUCUGCAACUCGACUCCAUGAAGUCGGAAUCGCUAGUAACCGCAGGUCAGCAAUACUGCGGUGAAUACGUUCCCGGGCCUUGUCACACCGA